GAUGAACGCUAGCUACAGGCUUAACACAUGCAAGUCGAGGGGAAACGACAUCGAAAGCUUGCUUUUGAUGGGCGUCGACCGGCGCACGGGUGAGUAACGCGUAUCCAACCUGCCCAUCACUUGGGAAUAACCUUGCGAAAGUAAGACUAAUACCCAAUGACAUCCCACGAAGACAUCUGAAUGGGAUUAAAGAUUUAUCGGUGAUGGAUGGGGAUGCGUCUGAUUAGCUUGUUGGCGGGGUAACGGCCCACCAAGGCAACGAUCAGUAGGGGUUCUGAGAGGCAGGUCCACCACAUUGGAACUGAGACACGGUCCAAACUCCUACGGGAGGCAGCAGUGAGGAAUAUUGGUCAAUGGGCGAGAGCCUGAACCAGCCAAGUAGCGUGCAGGAUGACGGCCCUAUGGGUUGUAAACUGCUUUUAUAAGGGAAUAAAGUGGGUCUCGUGAGACUUUUUGCAUGUACCUUAUGAAUAAGGACCGGCUAAUUCCGUG
rnacentral:rRNA from 1 species